GGUUAAGCGACUAAGCGUACACGGUGGAUGCCCUGGCAGUCAGAGGCGAUGAAGGACGUGCUAAUCUGCGAUAAGCGCCGGUAAGGUGAUAUGAACCGUUAUAACCGGCGAUUUCCGAAUGGGGAAACCCAGUGUGACUCGUCACACUAUCAUUAACUGAAUCCAUAGGUUAAUGAGGCGAACCGGGGGAACUGAAACAUCUAAGUACCCCGAGGAAAAGAAAUCAACCGAGAUUCCCCCAGUAGCGGCGAGCGAACGGGGAGGAGCCCAGAGCCUGAAUCAGCAUGUGUGUUAGUGGAAGCGUCUGG
rnacentral:rRNA from 1 species